CAGCCCCGGCCGCUGGGCGCACCCGUCCCGUUCGUCCCCGGACGUUGCUCUCUACCCCGGGAACGUCGAGACUGGAGCGCCCGAACUGAGCCACCUUCGCGGACCCCGAGAGCGGCGGCGCGACUCACCGCGGAGGCGCCCGGACGCGUCAAGCCCAGCCCAAUAGGAAGCACCUGAUCCACACUCUUUCUAGCCCCAGGGAUGCUCAGGAAAGCAGCCUUUCUUUAGGGCUGUCAUCUGUUCUGGGGAUCUGUUGCUGUUUCUUGGGCCCACAGAAUACACUCCACACCUCGGGACUCCAUAAUAUUGGACAAGGCUGGAAGGCCCAUUUGGCUCCUGCAGCCUCUUAUGCAGGAGGACCUCCUGAGGCUUCGGGCAGGAGCUGGUGCACACCUGGAGGAGAGUGCUGGUGAAUGGCAGGUGUGUGCCUCAGUGUCCUUGCUGCCAGGGUGUCAGCCCUGCUUCACCACUGGCCGUUUGUCUCUGUCCCCUCCACUGGCCUCUUGAAGCACAGAGACCCUCCGGGUACUUUCCUUCCUCUGGGCUUCCACUCAUGCUAUUCCCUGCUCCCUUUUUCUACCUGGAGACCCCCAUUCCUCCUCCUCCUCUGCUGCCCUCACCUCCACCUGGGCCCUCCCAGCUCCCGGGAGAUGGCUGAACCCCACUCCCCACCCGCUAGUCAUCCUCUUCAGCGGUCCUCCCAGAGCUGUCCUCAGCAUGGCAGCCUCCACAGCCCCUGGGUGUCACCCCCGGUUUCGUGUCUGCCUCGGACUCCAGACCUGCCCCUCCCAGGCUGGCCCAGAUGGAUCCUCUACAGUGACUAACCCAAACCAGCACCAGGCAGGGACCCAAUAAACCUUUGUGAA
rnacentral:lncRNA from 1 species